GUGCUCGCGUCUGCAGCACGCACACUAACACUGGGGCGCUGCAGAGAAGCACAGCGCGGGCCCUGCACGAGGAUGACAUGCAGAUCCGUGAAUUCCACAUUUUU